GCCCCUCCUCUGUCGCCGCCGCCCCUCGCCGGACCGAUCCCGCUCCGCCCGCCCGGCCCACGGCGCCACGUUCCGGGCCCCGGCUCUGAGGAAACCGCACUGCCCCCGGCCCCGCCCCCGGGGCUGGGCUCCGCUCGGACCACGGCCGCCCCCCGCCCGGCGGCGCCGAGGCCGGACGUCCUGCCCCGCGCCCGGCCGGAGCCCAAGCCCCGCUCGUCCCCCUGAGGCCACCGGAGGCGAAGGUAAACGGGCGACCUGCCCCGGCCACGAUGUGCGCGAUUCCGAGCUCCGUCUCCACAAAGAACCUCGACCCAAAGUCGUCGUACUGCCAUGAAGGCAGAAAACCGUCUCCUAAAGGCAGCAGAAGCCCCAGCAGCGUUUCAAGGAUUUGGGGUAUUCCACAUCGCACCUCUUCAGGAUUCAGGGACGGUUACCUGUGACAUUGUUCUCACCAAGCAUAGGAACAUGAACUCACUGAACUUAAGGAACCAGCGCCUAACCUUAAGUCUUCCCAAUGCUGCAGACUCUGCCAGUUUAGAGACUCACAGAAUGGUUGGAGGUGGAAGGGACCACCAAAGGCCAUCUGUUCCCACUGCCUGCAGUGCACAGGGACACCCACAGCUCCAUCAGUGCUCACAGCCCCGUUUCCUGACCAUGUGUGUCUGCAGGGAUGGGGCACCACCACCUCUCUGGGAAAGCUGUGCCACUGCCCUCAGUGAAAAAACUUCUUCCUUGUAUCCAAUCUGAUUCUCCUCUCUGUUAGUUUGAAACCAUUUCCCCUUCUCCUGGCAGAACCUACCCUGCUAAACGGUCUGUCCCUUCCUUCUUACAGCCCCUUUAGAUACUGAAAGUCCAUCCUCAGCUCUUCCCACAGCCUUCUCCAGGCUGUGCAGCCCCAGCUCUCUCAGCCUGUCAUCACAGGGAGCUUAUCAAAAGAUGUAAGGAAGACGGAUACCACAUUUCUUAUUCAGUCCAUCCUAAGUGACGUAGAAGGAACAUCACGCUUAGAAGAGACAGAUUCAUCCUCAUUUUCGUGGAGACGUUUUCUCGUAGCAACUGGCUAAAAGAAAGAUGCAGCAGGAUGGCUACAUUAAUCAGGUACAACAGAGCCUGACUGUUUUGUCUACUACAGAAUUACAGAUGUUGGAUAAAGUCUCCCUCCUGUAACCAAAACAGCAGCAUGACUAAUGAGUGUUUCUCUCCAGUGAUCUAAUGGUAAGUGAUCCUUCUCAUGUAAGACGCUGCCCUUACUCCCUUUUCUGUCUUAGCUGCUCCCCACUUUGACUACUGUUUAAAAUAAUGCUAAUUGCUGUCUAGUAAUUAAUGUCACUAUACCACUUCUAAGCUUCACUGCCAUGAGAAUUUUCCUUUGAAUAUUAAAUGUUCAUGACUCAAAUCCAUCACAACAUACAUGUUCACAUAUAGAACUUUAAAUAUAUGGAUAGUCCUUUAGAGCCUAGGAGACAGUUUCUUUAUGUUCAAAGUGUCUUGCCAAAGCCCAAAAGUAAACUCCUUCUACUAAGAAUGCAGGAAAGAAUUAGUAGACUGCUACAUAAAGGCAGAAUGUACACUUCUAUACUAAAUUAUCAGGAUUACAUUUUCUUAUUAUGGUUUACUAUUAAAUCUAGCUUAGCACCAAGUAUUAAUCUUCACAUAAUCUGUCCUUCAUACCAUUUUUGAUGUUUGUGGUGGAUUCAUAGUGGCACUUGUCUGAGCAAGUAGUUGUUGAAAUGUAUUUUUCAUAUCCUCGUCCUGUUAAAAAAAAACAAACAUCAGCCUUAAGUACUAUAUGGAAUGCUUAAGGUGGACCAGCAAUUGUGGACUAAAUAAAGGAGAAAAGGACGUAACUUUUCUCCUCACCAUUAGAAAAAUAAAACAAAACAAGUAGUGCCAGGAGGAAAGAUCUGUAAUGACCGUCCCAGACUGCUAUAAAACACUGCAGUGCCACAAUUCCUUCUCUAAGGUUUCCAACUUCAGACCCAGUGAAGAAGUGGUGAAUCUAUCAUUUACAUAACACAACUCAGAAAUGGAAUUAGGAAACAGUAUUUUUGCAGCAAAUAGAUUACACAUUAUCAUUGGUUCUUUAAAACAUCAGCUUUAUUCCCCAAGGAAAAUUUGGAAUGUGUGAUUUCUGGCAAAUAACAUCCUAACAAACAGAAAUUUCCAGAAUAAACACUCUCAAGGACCUUCAACAGCUACAGUUAACUUUGAUCCAACCUCCCUUCAUUUGCCCCCAAAAUAAAGAUCAUCCUAAUCUGCCCCAGAGUAGAAUUUUCAGCAGGUGGCUUAUGUACAGCACUGGUAAGGAAAAAAAUAGUUCUACUUCGUUCUACAAAUACAUUAUUUCCCUCUAUAACUACUUAGCUAAUACUGGUCAAGCAAAAGCUGAAACUAUAAUACCAUGCAAUGAAGUAUAACAAUACUGAAAGAACAAAACACACAGGACUAGGAGUUUGUGCAGGUAAUUCACUUGUCAGUUUUAUCAGGAGAGGCCUCAUCAGGACUUGGGACCUUGCUUUCAUCAAAAUCAAGUUCCUCGCUCUUGAAAAACAAGUAUUUUGCUUAUAGUCUUACAUUUCAUUUUCAUAAUGACUUCCAUUUCUAACAGAAUAUCUUCAUUUCUACCAGCUUAGCAUCAUCCCAACAUGUAGUUUUUAAUCACAUCUCCAACCAGCCAUCCUCCUCCCAAACAAUCUACUGUAUACACUAAGUAGAGAAGAACCAGCUAAAACAUCUAUAUUAAAAUGACAGUAGCAACUUUUACUUUUAAAAUACCCCGCCAUUACCUCUACCCUAAGUCCAUAUAGCAUAUCAAAGGUUGUAAAUGGAAGGUUUCACUUUUAAAAACCCAAAUGAUUGUUAAUAUUUAGUAUUCAUAGGCCAUGCAUAUUGCUACACUGUUCCCUACCGUAACAAGUUCACUGGAUAAUACGGUUUGUUCUCUAUCAGAAGUGGUAAGCCAGAAGCUGCCAUUAAUGGGAGAGACACUGGAAAGAAGUGGACAUAGGGAUGUUAUUAGUCGCACUUCUGCAUAAAGAAGCCUGGCUGCAGGAGCAUUAGUAGAGGAAAGGAGAGCACGAGGUAGGAGAGCACAGAUCAGUUGUUAGGGAAAGCUAUCGUUUAACAGAAAGUCAGUUGUGUUUCAAGAGAAAAAGCUAGCACAUAGCUUCAUUCUGGUUCAGCUGCCAGGGACUGAGAUGCCCUUGGUCUACACUGGGCAACCUCAGGGAAAAAGGAACUCCACGUGCAAAAGACCUUUAGUUGACAUAGUAUACUUCCUCUUCUGAAAAUAAAACCUCAUUCUCUAGUGUCAGCAACUUCUGCAGGAAUUUUAUUAGAAUGGGUUACUAUGGAUUACCUGCAAACCCUAAAUCAGACUUCCAAAGUUGAAAUCAGGUCUUGAAACCUUUCCUGGGACUACCUGAAGUAUGCUGCUCAUAGUGAUUUUAACUUAGAUCAUUUCCUUUGGCUGAGCUUUGAACAGUGACUGUAGGUUCACCAGCUGAACAACUGAUCUAGAACCAAAAACAGACAUUUAUUCUUAACAACUACCUGAAUAUAACAAGUUCUAUAAUAAUUUUGCUCUAUUAUCACAGCAAAGAUUGGGAAACUCAGGGAAAAGUGAAUGAGACAUUCACUGGUAGAGGCACAAGAGAAGUAAGGCUCAUCAAGCUCCCGUGGAUUUCAAAAAUUGUAACCCUUUUUUGGGUGGAAGGCAGGGGAGAUGGGCUCUUAUUCUAAACUAUAGAGUAUUGCAGUAUCUCCUUUUUUGGUUUAAAUAUGUUCUUUAGCACUACAGAGGCUUCAGUGUGAACAUACAAUUUAUUUUAAAUAGAAUUUGGACUUGUCUUUUUCCAGUGUCACGUUUUCCAAUUACAUAACACCAUUUUUUUUUUUAAAUUGAGCUGUAAAAAUUAUGUUUUGUUUGGAGAACAUGUGUGCUUACAAUAACUGAAACAUUCUCUAGUGGACCCCAGAUCGCUAGAGGGGGCUGACAUGCUGCACACAUUAAGUAUGCAUCCUGUGGGUGUUUUCAUGGUAGACUUUAGAGGUGUAAUACUUACAGAACAACACAAGAGGGAGUGGGGAGCCAGCAGCUCCUUCUUACUACUUGCGAUCACAAGACUCAAACAGCUUUACUGGUGGUAGUACUCAAGGUUUGUGAUAUUUAGAACUGAACAUAUUGUAUGUUGGCCUUUCAAAGCAAACAGUGUAUCGCCUAUAAAAAACUGACAUUGUAAUAACAGCCCAUGAAGAGAAACAGCUUAAAGAGUGACAUCUGAAUGCUAGGUGACAUACAGAUUUGCAGGUAAAAUGCUUUAUAAAACUUCUUGUCCUGUCUUCAAAAUCAAACACAGCAGUAAAAGCUGCCCCUAAAGAGUAUAUAUAGUCAAGAUGCUAACAGCUUCAUUUCACAUACUGACAGAUCUCAGUCUUAACAUGUGUAAAUCACUGUCAUAUACUUACUCUUUUCCAUAAUGCUUAUCAGUGAUUCUUAAAAUCAGUAUAUUAUGGUUUGUCAAUAACUCACCCUGCUCAGCCUUAUAAUCAAAGUGGAAGAAGCUACAGCCAAUUAACCCACUACAGAAAUUAUGUGCUAAACUACAGUAGUAAAAGCCAGGAAAGAUAGAAAGUAUUUCUGGAUGCCCAACACUAUAAUUGAGACAAGUUACUGGCUAACAAACAAUUACCCAACUGAAUAUUCUGUCUCAGUAACUACCAGCUGCUGAUUUGAGUGAUUCUCCCUUGCUUCAGCCUACGCAGAGGGCUUACGAAGUCACAGGAGCUACAGUUCUAUGAGUUAGUUAAGCUACACAGAUCACACAAUGUUUUGAGUUGGAAGGGACCCUUAAAGGUCAUCAAGUCCAACUCCCCUGCAAUGAACAGGGACGUCUACAGCUAAAUGAGGUAAUAUUCAGGUAAUACAGAGAAAACUGAACUGACAUAAAAUUAAGCAUAGUGUGGUUACUUUGGAGAAGACAGGAAUAAAUAAAUCCUUUUUCUCUCUGGCAGAAGUAUAUGAUUUGGAAGGAUAAAACUUACCUGUGGUGUACUCAUGACAAGGUGGAGUACCUGUGGUGUACUCAUGACUCUCCGUUGUCAAAGGCAGACAAAGGAGAAGUUGAAGCAGAAGCAGAAAAUAAGCAAUGAAGUGUUUAUGGUGGGAAAAGGCACUGAACAGCAUCAAGCAAGGCUACAAGAUUAGGAAUAGCAGCAACAACAGUAGAAAAAGAACAUGGAACUGAGAAAACUGAGAAAGCAUACAUACCAUGGGAGGGGGUAAGAGCUAACAAAGACUUUGCCAGGGCCAGUGGCCAAGAAAACAAGCACAAUGAAAAACAGCAGGGGGCCUAGCUGCCUUUGCAAGAAUUUAAAAUAAGGAAAACAGGAAAAAAUGAGAAUCUCUGUGCUGUAGAGAGAGCUUUUGUUGGGACAGCAAAGAAGCAGGUUUGCUCUGUACACUGCAAGAAAGUCCUUGGCACACAAUUAGGUACUGCAUGGUCAUCUUGCUUAUGGCAGCGAUCUCUUCAAAACGUUCACUCUGGUUUCAAGUUGUACAAUAUCUGAGCUAAUGUCGUUCUACAGAUUGGGAUCUGAUGGCUCAUUUUCCCAUAUGUCAUUCACAAUGCCAGCAAAAGAAAUGAACAACUCAGACAUACAGUA